AACGCGAAGAACCUUACCUGGGCUCGAACGGCUUAGGACCAUCUUUGGAAACAGAGACUUCCCGCAAGGGACCUGAGUCGAGGUGCUGCAUGGCUGUCGUCAGCUCGUGUCGUGAGAUGUUGGGUUAAGUCCCGCAACGAGCGCAACCCUUGUCCCUAGUUGCUACGCAAGGGCACUCUAGGGAGACUGCCGGUGACAAACCGGAGGAAGGUGGGGAUGACGUCAAGUCAGCACGGCCUUUAUGUCCAGGGCUACACACGUGUUACAAUGCAUGGUACAAACCGUCGCGAACCUGCGAAGGGGAGCUAAUCGGAAAAAACCAUGCUCAGUUCGGAUUGCAGUCUGCAACUCGACUGCAUGAAGCCGGAAUCGCUAGUAAUGGCGUAUCAGAACGACGCCGUGAAUACGUUCCCGGGUCUUGUACACACGC
rnacentral:rRNA from 1 species